rnacentral:rRNA from 1 species
GAUGAACGCUGGCGGCGUGCCUAAUACAUGCAAGUCGAGCGAACGGACGAGAAGCUUGCUUCUCUGAUGUUAGCGGCGGACGGGUGAGUCACACGUGGAUAACCUACCUAUCAGACUGGGAUAACUUCGGGAAACCGGAGCUAAUACCGGAUAAUAUUUUGAACCGCAUGGUUCAAAAGUGAAAGACGGUCUUGCUGUCACUUAUAGAUGGAUCCGCGCUGCAUUAGCUAGUUGGUAAGGUAACGGCUUACCAAGGCAACGAUGCAUAGCCGACCUGAGAGGGUGAUAGCCCACACUGGAACGGAGACACGGUCCAGACGCCUACGGGAGGGAGCAGUAGGGAAUCGGCCGCAAUGGGCGAGAGCCUGACGGAGCAACGCCGCGUGAGUGAUGGAGGUCUUCGGUGCGGAAAACUCUGUUACGAGGGAAGAACAUAUGUGUAAGUAACUGUGCACAUCUUGACGGUACCUAAUCAGAAAGCCACGGCUAACUACGUG